AUGCUGCUAUACCUGCUCCGCAGAUUUGGGGAGGCUACGGGACUGAAACUGAACCAAGAGAAAUCUUCAGUCAUCCCAAUAAAUUGCGGUGAUGUUCAGUUAUCAGAAGUUUUGGAAAACUUUGGAGGGCAGUUGUCCAACUUCCCAACCACAUAUCUGGGGCUCCCAAUCUCUCCAAGGAAGCUGAAGUUGGUGCAUUUUCAGUUCAUUAUCGACCGGAUCCGCUCUAGGCUGGCUGGAUGGAAAUGAAAACUGAUGAACAUGGCCGGUCGGCGUGUACUGGUGCGCGCAGUUUUGACAGCCUUGCCGGUUUUUGCUAUGACAGUUCUAAAAGUGCCGAAAAAAAUCCUGAAAUAGGUGGACAAGGCUCGGAGGCAAUUCCUAUGGGCUCAAGAUGAAAACUUAACUGGCGCCAAGUGCAAGGUAGACUGGGGAGAUGUUUGCCUCCCGCUAGCCAAGGGGGGAGGGCUCGGGCUGCUCGACCUCCGUUGUUUCAGUACUGCUCUCAGGCUGUGCUGGCUGUGGCUUGCUUGGCAGCAGCCGCGGAGACCCUGGAUGAGCUUUCCACCCCCAUGUGACAAUGAAGAUCACGAGCUGUUUUCAUCUGCUACCUCGGUGCAGUUGGGCAACGGAAAAUUGGCGCCCUUCUGGACUAGCAACUAG
rnacentral:rRNA from 1 species